rnacentral:rRNA from 1 species
AAGUCGUAACAAGGUUUCCGUAGGGUAAGUCAACUCCAACUGUCUUUGUUAUGAAGCAACGCUAACUAUCUCCUAGUGAACCUGCGGAAGGAUCAUUACUGAGUUAGGGUCUUUACGGCUCGACCUCCAACCCCAUGUCUACCUUACCUUUGUUGCUUCGGCGAUCCCGCCCUUGAAAUAUAGGGCCGCCGGAGGGUUCGCCCUCUGGUCCGUGUCCGUCGAUAGCCAACCACUUAAAAAAACUCUUGUUAAACCGUGUCGUCUGAGUAAAAAAUCUUAAUUAAACAAAAACUUUCAACAACGGAUCUCUUGGUUUUGGCAUCGAUGAAGAACGCAGCGAAAUGCGAUAAGUAAUGCGAAUUGCAGAAUCCGUGAGUCAUCGAAUCUUUGAACGCAUAUUGCGCCCCUUGGUAAUCCGAUGGGCAUGCCUGUUCGAGCGUCAUUUACACCCCUCAAGCUAGGCUUGUUAUUGGACUUUUUAGGCUGUUACUGGCCGGUCCCAAAGACAAUGACGGUGUUCGUGUGAACCCCAGUACACAGAGCUUUUGACUAAGCACGUACUCGGUUUGGCUCCGCGGGCCCGGUCUCACAUAUUAUUUACAAGGUUGACCUCGGAUCAGGUAGGAAUACCCGCUGAACUUAAGCAUAUCAAUAAGCGGAGGAAAAGAAACCAACAGGGAUUGCCCUAGUAACGGCGAGUGAAGCGGCAACAGCUCAAAUUUGAAAUCUGGCUUCGGCCCGAGUUGUAAUUUGUAGAGGAUGUUUCGGGUACCGCCAUGGCUUAAAUUUCUUGGAACAGGAUGUCAGAGAGGGUGAGAAUCCCGUCUGGAGCCGCGGUAGGGCCCAUGUGAAGCUCCUUCGACGAGUCGAGUUGUUUGGGAAUGCAGCUCAAAAUUGGUGGUAAAUUUCAUCUAAAGCUAAAUAUUGGCCAAAGACCGAUAGCGCACAAGUAGAGUGAUCGAAAGAUGAAAAGCACUUUGAAAAGAGAGUUAAACAGUAUGUGAAAUUGUUGAAAGGGAAGCGCUGGCAACCAGACUUGAACUUUGCGGUUCUCCCUCGCUUCUGCUUGGGCUACUCCGUGUGGUUCAGGCCAAUAUCGGUUUCGGUGGUUACUUAAAGGCUCUGGGAAUGUAUCUUCCCCCGGGAAGACUUAUAGCUCAGGGUGUCAUGUGGCCUAUUGGGACCGAGGUACGCGCUUCGGCUCGGAUAUUGGCGUAAUGGUUGUCAGCGGCC